rnacentral:sRNA from 1 species
GCAAAUCUGGAAGCGGAUCGCGUGGAGUGACGGUCACACCGCGGCGGAUUAAUUUCCAAAGAUUCAUGUUACAUGAGGAAGCCGCCAAGAAGACCAAAGAAAAGGAGACAAGGAUGGCUCUUCCUCAGGUAUGCUUGACUUUCAGGGAUGUGGCUAUAGAAUUCUCUUUGGAGGAGUGGAAAUGCCUGAACCCUGCGCAGAGGGCUUUAUACAGGGCCGUGAUGUUGGAGAACUACAGGAAUCUGGAGUCUGUGGGAUUGACUUCUAAGGAUUCUUGGUACAUGAGGAAGAAACCUGGAAGGAGAAGAGGAAAGCAAAGGCAUCAGGAAUGGCUCUUCCUCAGGGUCUGUUGACAUUCAGGGAUGUGGCCAUAGAAUUCUCUCAGGAGGAGUGGAAAUGCCUGGACCCUGCUCAGAGGACUCUAUACAGAGAUGUGAUGCUGGAGAAUUAUAGGAACCUGGUCUCCCUGGAUGUUCUGCAUUCUUCAUGAUAGCUCAGUGGGGGUUCCAGAAGUAAAGUAGGCUUAAAACCUUAUGGCUGGCAAGGUAUG